rnacentral:rRNA from 1 species
CAGCAGCCGCGGUAAUACGAAGGGUGCAAGCGUUAAUCGGAAUUACUGGGCAUAAAGCGUGCGUAGGCGGUUUGUUAAGUCUGUUGUGAAAUCCCCGGGCUCAACCUGGGAAUGGCAAUGGAUACUGGCAAGCUAGAGUGUGUCAGAGGAUGGUGGAAUUCCCGGUGUAGCGGUGAAAUGCGUAGAGAUCGGGAGGAACAUCAGUGGCGAAGGCGGCCAUCUGGGACAACACUGACGCUGAGGCACGAAAGCGUGGGGAGCAAACAGGAUUAGAUACCCGAGUAGUCCCUGUCUCUUAUAC